rnacentral:rRNA from 1 species
GUACACGCUGUGACUAGCAUAUCAAUAAGCGGAGGAAAAGAAACUAACAAGGAUUCCCCUAGUAACGGCGAGUGAAGCGGGAAGAGCUCAAAUUUGAAAUCUUAAAGGGUUUCCCUUUACGAAUUGUAGUUUAAAGAAGUGUUUUCUGUUGAGGUUUUGGUAAAAGUUCUUUGGAAUAGGACAUCAUAGAGGGUGAGAAUCCCGUAUUUGACCUUUACUUUCAACUUAGUGAUACACUUUCAAAGAGUCGGAUUGUUUGGGAAUGCAGUCCUAAAAUGGGUGGUAAAUUUCAUCUAAAGCUAAAUAUUGGCGAGAGACCGAUAGCGAACAAGUACCGUGAGGGAAAGAUGAAAAGAACUUUGAAAAGAGAGUUAAACAGUACGUGAAAUUGUCAAAAGGGAAGCGUUUGACACCAGUGUUGUUUUUCUGAAAAUCAAUUAAAGAACUGUUUAUGCUAAGCUGUUUAGACUUUAUCAGCUAAUCUGUUUAGUUUUGAGCUUUUCUUUAAUGCACUUUUCAGUUAACAAGUCAACAUCAAUUUCUUUUGCUGUAAAAAAGCUUGAGGAAGGUGGCUUGAGAUUCGUCCUUAAGUGUUUAUAGCCUCUUGCCUAUGCAGUCGGAGAGAUUGAGGUCUGCAGCGUAGAUCCUUCGGGGCUAAAUGCAUUUGUGCUAAGUUAUAGCAUUUUAUAGACAACUUGUCGACUAUGAUUUGUCUUGUAGCUUACUCGCUUAUGUUAUUUUACCUACGCUUAGGAUGUUGAGUCGUAGAGCACGCAG